UUUAAUUGGUGACUUGUAUGAAGGAUUGGAUGAGAUAUAAUCUGUCUCUUAUUUAAUAAUAAAAUUUAAUUUUUAAAUUAAAAAGUUUAAAUAGUUUAAAAAGACGAGAAGACCCUAUAGAGUUUUAUAAAUAAAUUAAUUAAGGUUAUUAGGAUAGUUUAAAAUUAAAAUUAAUUUAUUUAUUUUGUUGGGGUGAUAGAAAAAUAUAUUUAACUUUUUUUUUAGUUAAAACAUUUAUAAGUGGUUAAAUGAUCCAUUAUUAUUGAUUAUAAGAAAAAAUUACCUUAGGGAUAACAGCGUAAUUUUUUUUUUUAGUUCAUAUAAUAAAAAGAGUUUGCGACCUCGAUGUUGGAUUAAGAUAAAAUUUAAAUGCAGAAG
rnacentral:rRNA from 1 species